AUUGAACGCUGGAGGCAGUCCUAACACAUGCAAGUCGAACGAGUGGCGGACGGGUUAGUAAUGUCUGGGAAACUGCCUGAUGGAGGGGGAUAACUACUGGAAACGGUAGCUAAUACCGCAUACUAUCGGAUGUUCCCUGAUGUGAUUAGCUAGUAGGUGGGGUAACGGCUCACCUAGGCGACGAUCCCUAGCUGAUCUGAGAGGAUGUCCGGCCAGACUGGGGCUGAGGCACGGUACAGGUUCCUGCUGAAGGCAGCAGUGGGGAAAAUUGCAAAAGGGGCGCAAGCCGGAUGCGACCAUGCCGCGGGUAUGAAGAAGGCCUUAGGGUGGGAAAGUACUUGCAGAGGGGAGGAGUUACCGGGAGAAGAAGAACCGGCGAACUCAGUGCCAGCAGCCGCGGUAAUAC
rnacentral:rRNA from 1 species